rnacentral:rRNA from 1 species
AGAGUUUGAUCCUGGCUCAGGACGAACGCUGGCGGCGCUAACACAUGCAAGUCGUACGGGACCGGGGCUUCGGCCCCGGUUCAGUGGCGAACGGGUGCGUAACACGUGAGCAACCUGCCUGCCGGUGGGGGAUAACCCGGGGAAACCCGGGCUAAUACCGCAUUCGCUCUUGUCUUCGAUUGGGGACUUGAGGAAAGGUGCUGCAAGGCACUGCCGGCAGAGGGGCUCGCGGCGUAUCAGCUAGCUGGUGAGGUAACGGCUCACCAGGGCAACGACGCGUAGCCGAUCUGAGAGGAUGAUCGGCCACAUUGGGACUGAGAUACGGCCCAGACUCCUACGGGAGGCAGCAGUGGGGAAUCUUGCGCAAUGGGCGAAAGCCUGACGCAGCGACGCCGCGUGGGGGAGGAAGCCCUUCGGGGUGUAAACCUCUGUCAGAGGGGAAGAAUGGCCGUGGGAGGAAAUGCCUGCGGUUUGACGGUACCCUCAGAGGAAGCACCGGCUAACUCUGUGCCAGCAGCCGCGGUAAUACAGAGGGUGCGAGCGUUGUUCGGAAUUACUGGGCGUAAAGCGCGCGCAGGCGGCCUUUUAAGUCUACCCGUGAAAUGCCGGGGCUCAACUCCGUGCACGCCGGGGGAUACUGGGAGGCUGGAGACAUGUAGAGGCAAGCGGAAUUCCGGGUGUAGCGGUGGAAUGCGUAGAGAUCCGGAAGAACACCUGAGGCGAAGGCGGCUUGCUGGGCAUGAUCUGACGCUGANNNNCGAAAGCGUGGGGAGCAAACAGGAUUAGAUACCCUAGUAGUCC